rnacentral:rRNA from 1 species
UACGUAGGGGCUAGCGUUAUCCGGAAUUACUGGGCGUAAAGGGUGCGUAGGUGGUUUCUUAAGUCAGAGGUGAAAGGCUACGGCUCAACCGUAGUAAGCCUUUGAAACUGGGAAACUUGAGUGCAGGAGAGGAGAGUGGAAUUCCUAGUGUAGCGGUGAAAUGCGUAGAUAUUAGGAGGAACACCAGUUGCGAAGGCGGCUCUCUGGACUGUAACUGACACUGAGGCACGAAAACGUGGGGAGCAAAACAGGAUUAGAUACCCGGGGUAGUCCCUGAGCGGGCU